rnacentral:rRNA from 1 species
UACGGGGGGAGCAAGCGUUGUUCGGAUUUACUGGGCGUAAAGGGCGCGUAGGCGGCCACCGCAAGUCAGUUGUGAAAGCUCUGGGCUUAACCCGGAAAGGUCAGCCGAUACUGCGGGGCUAGAGUGCAGAAGGGGCAACUGGAAUUCUCGGUGUAGCGGUGAAAUGCGUAGAUAUCGAGAGGAACACCUGCGGCGAAGGCGGGUUGCUGGGCUGACACUGACGCUGAUGUGCGAAAGCUAGGGGAGCGAACGGG